CAUGUGCCUCAGUCUUUUGAGGCUGAUGAGUGGUCUUUUGACCAAAGCAUGUGAUGAAGAUCCUAGUCUGAGCAUAAAAGUGAUGCAAGUGAGGCCUGAAGAAGCACACGGCUGUUUGCCUCUGAGCACUCUCAUCUAAUGUCUCCCUGCCACACAGAGGACCCGUGAUUUCUUUGAAUACAUGGACGGUUCCUUUACCGUGUCUAUAUCGCACAUUUGCAAAAACAAAGAAAAAAAAGGUUAAUUUCUUCUAUGUAUACCCAGUACACAAAAAAUAUA